GAUGAACGCUGGCGGCGUGCCUAAUACAUGCAAGUCGAGCGAACGGACGAGAAGCUUGCUUCUCUGAUGAUAGCGGCGGACGGGUGAGUAACACGUGGAUAACUUACCUAUAAGACUGGGAUAACUUCGGGAAACCGGAGCUAAUACCGGAUAAUAUUUUGAACCGCAUGGUUCAAAAGUGAAAGACGGUCUUGCUGUCACUUAUAGAUGGAUCCGCGCUGCAUUAGCUAGUUGGUAAGGUAACGGCCUACCAAGGCAACGAUGCAUAGCCGACCUGAGAGGGUGAUCGGCCACACUGGAACUGAGACACGGUCCAGACUCCUACGGGAGGCAGCAGUAGGGAAUCUUCCGCAAUGGGCGAAAGCCUGACGGAGCAACGCCGCGUGAGUGAUGAAGGUCUUCGGAUCGUAAAACUCUGUUAUUAGGGAAGAACAUAUGUGUAAGUAACUGUGCACAUCUUGACGGUACCUAAUCAGAAAGCCACGGCUAACUACGUG
rnacentral:rRNA from 1 species